rnacentral:rRNA from 1 species
GAUUAAGUUAUUAAGGGCGCACGGUGGAUGCCUUGGCACUAGAAGCCGAUGAAGGACGUUACUAACGACGAUAUGCUUUGGGGAGCUGUAAGUAAGCUUUGAUCCAGAGAUUUCCGAAUGGGGAAACCCAGCAUGAGUUAUGUCAUGUUAUCGAUAUGUGAAUACAUAGCAUAUCAGAAGGCACACCCGGAGAACUGAAACAUCUUAGUACCCGGAGGAAGAGAAAGAAAAUUCGAUUCCCUUAGUAGCGGCGAGCGAAACGGGAAGAGCCCAAACCAACAAGCUUGCUUGUUGGGGUUGUAGGACACUCUAUACGGAGUUACAAAGGACGACAUUAGACGAAUCAUCUGGAAAGAUGAAUCAAAGAAGGUAAUAAUCCUGUAGUCGAAAAUGUUGUCUCUCUUGAGUGGAUCCUGAGUACGACGGAGCACGUGAAAUUCCGUCGGAAUCUGGGAGGACCAUCUCCUAAGGCUAAAUACUCUCUAGUGACCGAUAGUGAACCAGUACCGUGAGGGAAAGGUGAAAAGCACCCCGGAAGGGGAGUGAAAUAGAACCUGAAACCGUGUGCUUACAAGUAGUCAGAGCCCGUUAAUGGGUGAUGGCGUGCCUUUUGUAGAAUGAACCGGCGAGUUACGAUUUGAUGCAAGGUUAAGCAGUAAAUGUGGAGCCGUAGCGAAAGCGAGUCUGAAUAGGGCGUUUAGUAUUUGGUCGUAGACCCGAAACCAGGUGAUCUACCCUUGGUCAGGUUGAAGUUCAGGUAACACUGAAUGGAGGACCGAACCGACUUACGUUGAAAAGUGAGCGGAUGAACUGAGGGUAGCGGAGAAAUUCCAAUCGAACCUGGAGAUAGCUGGUUCUCUCCGAAAUAGCUUUAGGGCUAGCCUCAAGUGAUGAUUAUUGGAGGUAGAGCACUGUUUGGACGAGGGGCCCCUCUCGGGUUACCGAAUUCAGACAAACUCCGAAUGCCAAUUAAUUUAACUUGGGAGUCAGAACAUGGGUGAUAAGGUCCAUGUUCGAAAGGGAAACAGCCCAGACCACCAGCUAAGGUCCCAAAAUAUAUGUUAAGUGGAAAAGGAUGUGGCGUUGCCCAGACAACUAGGAUGUUGGCUUAGAAGCAGCCAUCAUUUAAAGAGUGCGUAAUAGCUCACUAGUCGAGUGACACUGCGCCGAAAAUGUACCGGGGCUAAACAUAUUACCGAAGCUGUGGAUUGUCCUUUGGACAAUGGUAGGAGAGCGUUCUAAGGGCGUUGAAGCAUGAUCGUAAG